rnacentral:rRNA from 1 species
UACGUAGGGUGCAAGCGUUGUCCGGAAUUAUUGGGCGUAAAGAGCUCGUAGGCGGUCUGUCGCGUCGGCUGUGAAAACCCGGAGCUCAACUCCGGGCCUGCAGUCGAUACGGGCAGACUGGAGUUCGGCAGGGGAGACUGGAAUUCCUGGUGUAGCGGUGGAAUGCGCAGAUAUCAGGAGGAACACCGGUGGCGAAGGCGGGUCUCUGGGCAGUAACUGACGCUGAGGAGCGAAAGCGUGGGGAGCGAACAGGA